GUGGGGAAUCUUCCGCAAUGGACGAAAGUCUGACGGAGCAACGCCGCGUGAGUGAAGAAGGUUUUCGGAUCGUAAAGCUCUUUCGUUAGGGACGAACGUGCUCUUUGUGAAUAAUGAGGAGUAAUGACGGUACCUAAAUAAGAAGCCACGGCUAACUACGUGCCAGCAGCCGCGGUAAUACGUAGGUGGCAAGCGUUGUCCGGAAUUAUUGGGCGUAAAGCGCGCGCAGGCGGGAUAUCAAGUCUGUCUUAAAAGUGCGAGGCUCAACCUCGUGGGGGGACAGAAACUGGUAUUCUUGAGUGUCGGAGAGGAAAGUGGAAUUCCAAGUGUAGCGGUGAAAUGCGUAGAGAUUUGGAAGAACACCAGUGGCGAAGGCGACUUUCUGGACGAUGUCUGACGCUGAGGCGCGAAAGCUAGGGGAGCGAACGGGAUUAGAAACCCUGGUAGUCC
rnacentral:rRNA from 1 species